rnacentral:rRNA from 1 species
ACGCUGGCGGCGUGCUUAACACAUGCAAGUCGAACGAUGAAGCCUAGCUUGCUAGGUGGAUUAGUGGCGAACGGGUGAGUAAUACGUGAGUAACUUACCUUUAACUCUGGGAUAAGCCUGGGAAACUGGGUCUAAUACCGGAUACGACCAAUCUCCGCAUGGGGUGUUGGUGGAAAGCGUUAUGUAGUGGUUAUAGAUGGGCUCACGGCCUAUCAGCUUGUUGGUGAGGUAACGGCUCACCAAGGCGACGACGGGUAGCCGGCCUGAGAGGGUGACCGGCCACACUGGGACUGAGACACGGCCCAGACUCCUACGGGAGGCAGCAGUGGGGAAUAUUGCACAAUGGGCGCAAGCCUGAUGCAGCGACGCCGCGUGAGGGAUGACGGCCUUCGGGUUGUAAACCUCUGUUAGCAGGGAAGAAGAGAGAUUGACGGUACCUGCAGAGAAAGCGCCGGCUAACUACGUGCCAGCAGCCGCGGUAAUACGUAGGGCGUGAGCGUUGUCCGGAAUUAUAGGGCGUAAAGAGCUUGUAGGCGGUUUGUCGCGUCUGCUGUGAAAGGCCGGGGCUUAACUCCGUGUAUUGCAGUGGGUACGGGCAGACUAGAGUGCGGUAGGGGAGACUGGAAUUCCUGGUGUAGCGGUGGAAUGCGCAGAUAUCAGGAGGAACACCGAUGGCGAAGGCAGGUCUCUGGGCUGUAACUGACGCUGAGAAGCGAAAGCAUGGGGAGCGAACAGGAUUAGAUACCCUGGUAGUCCAUGCCGUAAACGUUGGGCACUAGGUGUGGGGGACAUUCCACGUUUUCCGCGCCGUAGCUAACGCAUUAAGUGCCCCGCCUGGGGAGUACGGCCGCAAGGCUAAAACUCAAAGAAAUUGACGGGGGCCCGCACAAGCGGCGGAGCAUGCGGAUUA